UACGUAGGGUGCAAGCGUUUGUCCGGAAUUAUUGGGCGUAAAGAGCUUGUAGGCGGUUUGUCGCGUCUGCUGUGAAAUUUCGGGGCUCAACCCCGAACUUGCAGUGGGUACGGGGCAGACUAGAGUGUGGUAGGGGAGACUGGAAUUCCUGGUGUAGCGGUGAAAUGCGCAGAUAUCAGGAGGAACACCGAUGGCGAAGGCAGGUCUCUGGGCCAUAACUGACGCUGAGAAGCGAAAGCAUGGGGAGCGAACAGG
rnacentral:rRNA from 1 species